ensembl:lncRNA
AUGACACUUGCGUGGGAAGAACGGCAAUAUUUCCUCAGUUACUCAACCGCAGGAGCUGCCUCCUGGCAGCAGUGCUCAGGAGGCGCCUCGGGGGCGAGGGCUGGUGCCCGGCAGCAGCUGUGCCCCGGGAUAUCGCACCGCUCCUCACAGCUGUGUCCCGGGACAGCGCACCGGCCCGGCCCGCCCCUCGGCAGCUGUGCCCCGGGAUAUCGCACCGCUCCUCACAACUGUGCCCCGGGACAGCGCACCGCUCCUCACAGCGGUGCCCCGGGACAGCGCACCGGCCCGGCCCGCUCCUCACAGCUGUGCCCGGAGCCUGCUGCUGCCCAGGGCUCCCUGCCGAACGCCGCGGGGAGCGGGCUCAGACCGCCAGCCCUGCUCCCUCGGGACUCUCUGGCUGGUUCCUGCAGGCCUCCGGGGAGCUCAAAAGCAGCAAUCAAACAUCCAGGUGAUCUCACUGCCAACACCAAUAAUUCUGGCUGUCUGCUGCGGCUUGAUGGCAGCUGCUCGUACCCAGCACGCAUCCACGGGACAAGCCGCGCCAGCUGCCAAGUCCUUUCCGACCCGUUUGCUAACAGCGGCUCAGAUUCAAGAGACAUAAGCCAGCCGCAAGACAGACACACAAGAAUUCCAGGCUACCCGGUUAUCCUAGACGGCUUUGUCGGGGAAGCCCGGUGCGUGGCAGCUCCAUCAUUAGAGCAGCGGAGCGGGUGAGCAUCGCCCCCGCCACCUCCCCGGCCCCGGCUCGCCAUGUGCCCCUCGCCACCCCCGAGCCCUGCCGGGGUCCGCUCCGGCCCCGCUGCCCCGGCACUCACCUCGGCUCGGCGCGUCUCAGCCCGGCGCGGCCCCGCGGCGCCUUAAAGCGCCGGGGCGGAGCCAGAGGGGCCGGGCCCCGCGUCCCUCGGCCCGGCCGGCUCAGCGCGGGCAGCGGGGCCCGGCCCUGCUGGGGCCGCCCCGGGGGCAGCGGGACAUGGCCCAGCUGCAGCCUCGGACCGCAGCGCCCCGGCUUGCGGUUUCACCCAGUUUUAGGGUUUUGCUUGACCUACUUGCCGGCUCCGUGACGGAGUUUCCCCAGAGCACAGGGAAAGGAUGCUGGGGUCGGGAAAGCGGUUUCCCAGGACGUGAGGAGCGGGCGCAGGCAGGAGCCUGUGCCCGGCUCGUGGGAGCCUCGGGGACUCGGCACCGCAGCUCCCGCUGAACCACUGCUCCAGUGGGGACUGAUGAGGAGGGGCCACAAUAUUUUCUCAAGAGGCCGGCAAUUAGGGCUGUCUACAGCAUGCUGGAGAAAACUGCCCGAGGCUUCAGCUGCUUUUUGUGAGCGUCCCAGUUUCCCAGGGCUGUUGCCCACUGACUGUGUCGGUUUCAGGAUUAUGCGCAGGGCUCCCUAUGCCUAGCGGGAGAUGUGGGUUUAUCCCCUGCUCGUUAUUAACCCAAUACCAAGUCACCUACUCGUUGCCCACAGGAAUGCCAGGCAGCACGGGGGCCGCCUUUUCACACGCACCGGGGAUGGAGCCCCAGGAAUGAGGCCCAGCGAGCUUGGCGGAGGCAGCACGCAGGAGCCCUCCUGCCCAGGCGCUGUGCAGUGAGGUGGGCUGUGUCCUCGCUGGGGUGGGAGAGAUCCCGCCGAGCUGCGGGCACAGACGCUGGGUGACAUGCCGCUGGGCCCAAACUGCCUGUACUGUGAGGUGACUGAAAAUUACCUCCACCCCAGGUCAGAGAGUACAAGGGUUACUCUUCUCCGCCUUAAAAUGUACUUUCCAUGUACUGCAGCCUGCAUGCUGGCAGCUGCAACUUGCUGAGAUGUUUUGCUUUCCAUUUUUUAAUUUUCUUUUUUUUAUUUGUAAAGAAUCUUGAGUGACCAGACUGUGCAUGAUUUAUGUGCAUCUCAGAGUCCUGCUCCAUAAGCAAAGCCAGUAUCUGUUCCUGUGGAACAAGCUGGUGUUCAUUGUGAGCAAAACCAAGAGUCUGACCUCAAGCAUCACAGCAAAAACUUUAUGCUAGGCUUUGAGGGAAGUGAGCACUAGGAGAAGCAGAAGUGUUAGCAACUGUUGUUUCUUGAAUUGGAGGUUGCAUGAAGGGAGAGGAUCUCAGAGUCGAUGAGAGGCUGUGAGUCAGAGCAGGCUGACUCCAUUUGCUGCAACAGAGCCUGUGCUCUCUUGUCCAACUUGUCCUGCUCCCAACCCUGCUGGAACUGCAUGUGAUGAUGCUGAGUUAUUUACCAUGUCUCCUCGGGUAGCCUCCAGAGCUAAUAGAUUUUGUCUUUUGAUAACGUUUCCUACAGACUACAAAAAAUAAACAGCAGAGAUCCCAAUGGAGAGAAAGAAAC